rnacentral:lncRNA from 1 species
AAAGGAUAAGGCACACAUCUAUAUGGAUACCGCAUAAAAACCACUCAUGGAGGUACAGAGGGAGGCUCUUCGCGAUUGCUUUGAUGCUACGUGACGAGGAUUAUCUGCGCCAAAUCUGCAGAAAAGGAACCUGGCAGAUCAUGUUCCUUAACCAGAUGCGAAGAAAAGUCAAUGACAUAGAAGGCUGUGGACCACCUAGAAAUGAUGGGGAUUGGCUAAGUAGAAGAAAAUUCAUGUGGCAGCCAUGGUGGGAGCUGAAAGAGAAGAUUCGCCACAGUUGGGAUCUGUGUGUUCCGUCCAGGAGGAAGAUGUCUUGUGGAUUCUGAGGAGAGCCGGGGACAGUGCCCUGGAUCAUUCUGAUGGCAUCGUCACCAAGUCCUUCAAGGCUAAAGGGGAACAGAAGAGCAGUCAGAAGAAUAUGACAGGAGAAGACUCUACUGCCCAUUGCUGGGUGUAGAGGUGAA